rnacentral:rRNA from 1 species
GGGACGAACGCUGGCGGCGUGCUUAACACAUGCAAGUCGAGCGGUAAGGCCUUUCGGGGUACACGAGCGGCGAACGGGUGAGUAACACGUAGGUGAUCUGCCCUGCACUUCGGGAUAAGCCUGGGAAACUGGGUCUAAUACCGGAUAUGACCUCCUAUCGCAUGGUGGGUGGUGGAAAGAUUUAUCGGUGCAGGAUGGGCCCGCGGCCUAUCAGCUUGUUGGUGGGGUAAUGGCCUACCAAGGCGACGACGGGUAGCCGACCUGAGAGGGUGACCGGCCACACUGGGACUGAGACACGGCCCAGACUCCUACGGGAGGCAGCAGUGGGGAAUAGUUGCACAAUGGGCGAAAGCCUGAUGCAGCGACGCCGCGUGAGGGAUGAAGGCCUUCGGGUGUAAACCUCUUUCAGUCGAGGACAAGCGUGAGUGACGUACCUGCAGAAGAGCACCGGCUAACGUCGUCGACCGAGCCGAGCCCGC